rnacentral:rRNA from 1 species
AAUGAACGUUGGCGGCGUGGAUUAGGCAUGCAAGUCGAGCGUGAUAGGUUUGGUGCUUGCAUUAAACCUUGAAAGCGGCGAAAGGGACAGUAACGCGUAGAUACCUACCUCCAGGUCCGGGAUAGCGGCGGGAAACUGCCGGUAAUACCGGAUAAUGUCUUCGGACCAAAGGGGUGAUUCCGCUUUGAGACGGAUCUGCGUCUUAUUAGCGAGUUGGUGGGGUAAUGGCCCACCAAGGCGAUGAUGGGUAGCGGGCGUGAGAGCGUGGCCCGCGUCACUGGGACUGAGACACUGCCCAGACACCUACGGGUGGCUGCAGUCGAGAAUCUUCGGCAAUGGGCGCAAGCCUGACCGAGCGACGCCGCGUGCGGGAUGAAGGCCUUCGGGUUGUAAACCGCUGUCGGAGAGGCGGAAAUCUCUAGGGGUUCUCCCCUGGAGUUGACCUAAUCUCGGAGGAAGUCCGGGCUAAGUUCGUGCCAGCCGCCGCGGUAAGAC